rnacentral:lncRNA from 1 species
GGACAUGGCCUUUAUCCUGGUCCUCAAAGAACUAAUAGUCUGUCUGGGAAGCUAAUGUACAUGAAACAUUUAGUGAAAACCAAAGCACUUGAACUAUGUGUUAUUGAUUAUUCAAGAAAGAAUCCAGAUAAGGGAUAAAUCAAUGUGGAUUUGUUUCUUGGGGAAGGCUUUCUGGAUCAUGUCACAAGUGAGGUGCCAAAGGAUUAAAGGAACUUAUUAAGAAGGCAAUAAAGAGGGGGUGAACAAAGAUUCAUAAUGAGCUUAGAGGUCAGUGAACUUAUGUACCUGAGGCAGAGACUUAAUUUUGGAGACUAGGGAAUGAAGUGGAAUAGGAUGGUGGGAUACUUCAAAAAUCAGGCAUAUGUUAAGCUAUAGAUAGUCAGGUGAGUUUUUUUCUUUUAAACUUAGUGUUAACCUCUAAGUUUUUAUGGGACAAAGGGAGGAUAAAUUAAUAAAUUACUGACUAAUUGAAUGAAUGAAUAAAUAAAUUGUAUUGUAAAGACACUGUAGAUAUUAUAACUGGCCUCUUACAUAGAAAUUUGUCUAAGCUGGGAGUUUGGGGUUCCUCUGCAAGAUCUCAGCAACAUAGGUUGCCAGGGAACAAGAGAAGUCAAGACCAGGUAUCACAGCGACUGGGAGCCUGGCUGUGCUCACGUUAGCCAGCAGUCUAGUCCUCAGUGAACAAGAAGAAGUGUUGGAUCUGAGGAGAUCCAGUUCAGCAGGAGAUUUGGUUAACUAGAAUGUGGAGAGCAGGUAAGACUGAGUCAGGAAUGGUGCUGUCUUGGAAUUUGGGCAAUGUAAAUUCCAGCCGGCAGCUUGAGUUCUGGAAUAGACUGGUGGACGGUGAUAUCAGGGCCCUACUCAAGUAGAUUGAAGUAUAGGGCAAGGCACAAGGUCUUGAAGGAAAAAGGAAAGCUAGCCAGGGCAAACAGUUCAGGAGACUGGGCCAAUAUGUGUGGAGUUAGCAGGGCAACGGGGGAAUGAUGAUGAAGCUGUGUGGAGUAAGCUCAGGGCAAUUCAGAGCAUUUGUGGCCAAGAAAGGAAUACCAUUGCUGCUAUCUGGUGUGUGUGUGUGUGUGGUUGCUUCUCUUUUGCCUGCCUGCUGAAGAUGCAUUGAAGAUCACAGCUGUGCUGAGCCUCUUAAGUAGAUCCUUCAGGGGCCCUACCUCAGACAGAUCUUGGAAUGAAUGGCUGAAGCGGAGGCCCGGUGGAGGUAGCAUCACUUGGAAGGAGUUGACUACAGCACAGGAGAUGGAGGCAUAGCUAGGAGCCUGUCAUAUCCCAGGCUGAGGAGAACAGGGUUUGGCAAAGGGGUGGGGAGGACUUAGUAGAAAUUCAGAAGCAAAGGGAGCUGCAAAAGACAUUUCAAAUUAAGAAGAGGCUUCAGUGACAAGUUUGAUAUAAUGGAUAGGGAAAGAAGAACCUAAAAUGAUUCCAGGUCCAUUUUAAAUGCUCAUGUACUUUGACAUUUUUGUUCCUGAGCUGAAAGGUGUUGUAUUUCUUCUAAACCCAAAACAAUUUUAUUUGACAGAAGACAAAAACAAAAGUUAUUUACAGUAGUGUUUUGCUCAAAUAAUUCAAUGGGAUAACUGUGCUUCUGCUCUAGGUUUAUCUCCCAGCCACACCAUGCAGAGGCUGCCCCACUCGCAGCCUCCCCAUCUUGCACAAGGGGAGAAUGCCAACCAGAAUUCAGCAGCAUGGCUCUCUCACCCUUCACCCCUCACCACCUCUAUUGCUCAGUGCACCAUCGGAAGGAAAAGUCCCACCCUAGUUGAGUACACUUCCAGGAUCACUUGCUAUAAUCAUCUUCCCACACUCACACCAGACCUGAGCUCACAGACGUGGGGUGGGGUGGGAGAUGCUGGGCAAAUAGCAGCUUCAACUAAUCUUGAAGCCUCUGUGUUCUUUCUUCCAGAGCUGAGCCUCAGGAGGGUGAGGAUCCCCGAUCCCCUGGGACAUGCAAGGAGGGGGUGGGGUGGCAAAAGAGUGAGCCUAGGAAACUUGCCCACUCACAGAGAGCAAAGUUCCCUCUCCUUAAAUAACCAAUCCCCAUUCCCCCAGCAUAGGCCAGGCCGCCACUGUGAAGUCGAGUAGAGCUGAUAGGUAUUUUCAACUGACGUAUCCCUUUGGCCUAUUCUUUAAAA